AAAGAAAUCUAAACUAAAAAUGUAAAAAAAAAAAAAUUAAAAAAAAACUGUUCAACAAGUUAUUUGUUUCAUUAGAUACAAAGGGAGAACAUUUUUUUAAAAAUGUUGUACUCAAUGUAUUUGUUUAAUUAAAAAAAAAAAAAGUACAGCCAACAAAACAAGUCAUUUGAUCAAUGACGCCAAAUGCAAUGUCCAAUUAAUUAUCAAGUGCCUGCUCUCUUUACAUAGCCAUCCAUCAGAGCAUAAGAAAGGAAAAAAAAACAACAUAAUGCACAGUAUCUAAUGGAGCCAAGACAAAAUAAAUAAUAUGAAAACCUUUGCACGCCAGGAGAAGUUGACCUGAUCAAGCAAAACCUCAACAUUGAUUCAUAUUAUUACAUUUAUAUAAAUAAAAAAUGUCAGCACACACACAAAAAAAA